rnacentral:lncRNA from 1 species
UUCUCUUUUAAGUAUUCUGUAGCAUUUAUUUUUUGGGCAGGUAAUAUGUCAAGCUUCUUCUUCUUUCUCUGCUUUAAGACCCACUAGCUUUGUUUUCAUUGCGAAAUCACCAUCUCCUGAUGCUGGGUUAUUAUAGUCCCUGUUCAAUUGGCCAAUCAUUUCCCCUCUCAUCACUCUUUAUGCAUAUUUCCUCUGAAGAUUUUCCUUUUAUUUUUAAUCAUGGCCUCUGGUGUGUCCUUUUGAAAAGUUUAAUCAUGUCCUCUGUGAAAUAUGAUUGUGUAGUUUGACCACAAAUGAAUGAGCCUGGUUGCUUGCGGGACCUAGUGGUCUGCUGUCCUAAAUAGACUGACCACUAUCAGUGAUUGCUUUUCAUCCUGCUACUGCCACUUAAUGGCCUGUUGUCGUUAGAAAUCCAUGCUGGUAUCUGGUGCUUUACUAUCAGGCAGCAACUCCUUCUUUGAAGUAAGAAGAUAACUGAGCAAGAGUCUCACGUGCAGCCACGUCACUUCACACUGUGGUGUCACCUUAGCAGAAUCUGGAAGUGGACGAGAACUUCUUCCCAGGCAUUCCUUUGAUCACAGUUUCUUGUAAAAAAAGCUACACUGGAUUCUCGAAGGAUUCACAGAGACCUAAAAGACAUUGACCUCAGCACCACUCUUCUAGGACCUUGGAGAAGGAUGGAAAAUGUGAAAAAUAGAAGUAAGACCCAGAAACAAAUUUCUGUCAAAGCUUCUUCAAUCAAAGAUGGCUUCUGGUCACAUGGGAAUUUUUGCUGGGAAUAUUUGGCUCUGAUAAACUUUGAGUUCUCGCUUCAGCUGAGAGUUAAACAAAACCUUGGUGUUUUCCAUUUUGAUGACAGGUGAUUUUUCACUUUUAGAAUGCUACAUUUCAAUAAAGAAGAAUUUCAAAUGCA